UGGCAUUUCCUAUGAGUGUCUGGCUGGUGAAGCUUCAUCUGCUGAGGUUGGACAGGGUGCCUAUGUGACCAGUAAGGAGAAGGUACAGCAAAUAUUUCCUUCUUGUGGAUUGUGCAGAUACCCCAUUUUGUUCACAGCAGACAUGAUUGUGAUGGGCAGGCUCACAGAGAGCAUUGUGGCCAAUGAGAAGUAAGAACAAUGGUGAUAUAGAGGAUGGCCCAGUGAGGUCAAUGCAGUAUCAGCCUAUCUGGUCCAUCUGGACACCAGUGCGAUGCCACAGUGGAUGCAACUUGGAGCAUCUGAUCACCUCACCCUCUGGAAUGCCUCCAGAAUCAGUGAUGGGAGGCAAGCCAUGGCAGAAACACUGGAACAACACAUCAUCUUCCCCUGAGUGAUCAGUUCAAGACGAGGGUGAUGGUAGCGGCAGCAGUGGUGGCCAAAAUGGACCAGCUGUUCAGAUAGCCACAAAGCCCUAGGAUAUUCUGGAGUUUUCUUCAAAUGUUGGAGUAUCUCCUAACUUUGUUUAGUCAGAACAAAGUUGGAUUAAGGGUAAAAAGUCAGGAUACUUCCUGAAAAUUCCUGCGCAUUGUAAAAACAGUGCUGGAAUCAGAUGAGAUAAAGUGGAAAAGAGAAUACCAGUACCUACCAUCUUGAGCUCAUUGCAGGAAAGGUACAACAGAAAUGAAAUAAAGGGCAUGUCAUAAUCACUGCAGGAGGUUCUGCCAAAGGAGACUUAAAGUGGCUCUAGGAAUCUCUAGGUCCUCCAGAAUGGCUCUAUCAUCAUCUUCAAUAAUGCUUGCUUUAGUCAAGCCUGAUGGAAAAGAAGAAAAAUACUUACCAGAUCGUGAGAAGGUAGCCAUCCUAAUUUCCUUGAAAGACCUGAACAGGGAAUCCCCAGCACCACCUUCCUUCAUUUUUCCCCUCCAGAAAGGCCCAGCACCAUUUCAAAGCAGAACUUCCAAGUCCAUCUCAAUGGCACAGCCUAGAAGGAUACCAUGGGUAUCUGACCACUACUGGAUGGUACAGCACAACCAACAGGGACCAACACAGCCACUCAGUUCCCAACAAAGCUCACACAACAAAAUGACCAAAGCCAUCUACAUUCCAUAACCAAGCCAAAAGCCAAAUUCCUCAGAUGGAUUUAGAUAAUCUGACUCAUCCAGGAAUUCACGUAGCUGCUCUCUUUAUUAGAUAAAGUGCUUUGUGCCCCUGAUGCUAUAUAAUUUCUAUUUACUCCUGCAGCUCGUCAAUCAAAAGAUCAUACUAGCAACUUUGCAGGCCUUAAUUUAGCUAAUUGUGCAUUGUGGUUUAGCAAACUUUGGCUUAAUGGCUUGUUGAAGUUGCCCAAUGCAGAUAGUUUUACUUUCAUUUCAGCCAAGGGUUGUAGUGUGGUAGAUUAUGUUCUGGUAUCUGCACACCUUUUGAGCUCAAAUUCCCAGUUUGUCAUUGAUGAUUUUGCCAUAAGAGACCAUCUUCCUUUAGUGUUGUAUUUUCUUGUUGGCUCUAUUUCAAGCUUUGAAUCUGCAAAAUGCGAAUCAUAUACACAUUUGAAAUUGUCAUCACAAACUGAGGCCACUUUUAAGGCCUUUAUAGAACAGCCUCCUGUUCUAUGGGAUAUAGUCAUUGCAAAUAGCCCAGUAACUGUGUUGGGGCUAUUUGAUAACCCAAUUAUCUUGUUGGCAAACUCUCUUACAAGCAAUCCUCAAGACAUUCAAAUAAUCCUGGGUUUGAUAUGAAUUGUAUUGAAAUUAACCAACAAAUAAGACUCCUGUACAGGAAAUUCUGAAGAUCUAAGUCUGGAGGGGAUCUUGCUAACCUUCAGAAUCCUAAAUGCAACUCCAAAGUUGUAUCCAACUUAAGCAGCAAUCAUUAGCAGAAUUUAAGUCCAUCUGUAACAAACAAUUCUAAGCAGUUUUGGUAUUUGGUCAAUGGACUAAGUAGAACUCUUAAUGCUUACAAAUGUGGAAGCCUGCAAGUCAGUCAAAAGCAGACUUUUGGAUCUUGACUUUCAUAUUCUGAUUCUUGCAACAAAGAUAACUUGUUCCCCUACCAUAUCAUUAAUUCCAUAUGAGUGUGGAGUCAUGGUAGUAUAUCUUUGCAUUUUGAUUAAUCCCACCCAGAGGAGAGCUUUGGUGAUCACAAUAUAUAAUGUGUUGCCAUCAGCUCUUUUGGAUGGGAGAUAUAAAAACAUGGAAUAUUCCAAAAGGGUUUGUUCUUGUGACUUGGUCUCUUUUGAAACAUUUCCCCAUUCUCUGUUAAUUUGCCCCAAAUAUGAUAACAUAAGGAUGCAAUACAAGAAUUCCUUUUUUUCAUGGUGUUCUCAAUGGCAAGGGUGUUAUAAAAUUCCAUAUCUUUUGAAUAGUUCUGAUGUAUUCUUUUGUGAGACUGUUGCCAAUUUUAUUCUUGAGAUUAAUAUUUUUUAUGUACAGUAGAAUCUUGCUUAUCCAACCUUCUCUCAUCCAAUGUUCUGUAUUAUUCAACACAUUCUGCCUUUUAAUAGUCAGUGUUUUCAAUAUAUUGUGAUAUUUUGGUGCUAAAUUUGUAAAAUCAUAAGGUAAUUUGAUGUUUAAUAGGCAUUUCCUUAAUCCUUCAUUAUCCAACAUUUUCACUUAUUCAACAUUCUGCCAGCCCGUUUAUGUUGGAUAAGUGAGACUAUACUGUAUGUUUUCCUUUUUAUUUGUGACUUCCUCUUAUUGUAUAUGCCUGUGCUAUGAUUUUGUUGUAUGCCAGUAAAAGCUAUGUGUGUAUGAUGUAGCUGAAAUGCCACCUUGCCCCAAAAUUGAAGACCAGUUUGUGGUUACUCUUUUCAGGAGGAUUGGGGUGGGGGGCUUUAUUAGUUUUAUUUAAAAAUCUGUCCUUUCCUCAGCAAUGUAUAUACAUUCUCUUCUAUUUUUAACUUCAGUUUUGGGAGGGCCAGAAAUGUGUUCUUUAAUAGGAGAGGCCAAUCAAGACUUUUGACAACUAUGAAUCUGUAUAUAUAUAGUCACCAGGAUGAUGAUGAUGAUGAUGAUGAUGAUGAUGAUGAUGAUGAUGAUGAUGAAUUUUAUUUCUAACCCACCCUUUCUCCCCAAAGGGACUUGGGGCAGUUUACAUAUAUGAAUGCCAAAUACAUAUCCAAUGCCAUAUACAAUCAUAAAACAGAAGCAAAUAUACAUAAAACAUAACAAGUUAAAUGAUAAUCCCAUAACUAAAUGAUAAAAAAGAUAAAUACAGAUCACAAUUAAAAGCGCAUAUAAAAUAAGCUCUACGAAAAAGGAGAUGUUUGGGCCUUUUAAAAUGCUGUUCAGAUGGAAUCUAGAGAUAUAACAUAUAGUGGCCCUACAGAGAUGGUAGUUGCUUUGAUUCCUUUAUCUACUCACAAGUAUUGUAGCUUAGAUAAAUAUACACAUCAUUACACAAUAUGAAAUUUAGUUAAUUCAUGCUACAUAUGUAUAGUGUUGCCCAGCUGAAUAUGGGACUAGACUCCCAUACCUCAGAUAGUAGAGAAGUGUCCAGCUGUAAUGAGGGUGUUGUGAAGAGGCAUGAGGAUGAACAUGUUGCAUAAUUCACCCUCACAGGAAUUAUCAUUACAGUAGAGUCUCACUUAUCCAACACUCACUUAUCCAACGUUCUGGAUUAUCCAACGCAUUUUUCUAGUCAAUGUUUUCAAAAUAUCAUGAUAUUUUGGUGCUAAAUUUGUAAAUACAGUAAUUACUGCAUAGCAUUAAUGUGUAAUGAACUACUUUUUCUGUCAAAUUUGUUGUAUAACAUGAUGUUUUGGUGCUUAAUUUGUAAAAUUAUAACCUAUUUUGUUGUUUGAUAGGCUUUUUCUUAAUCUCUCCUUAUUAUCCAACAUAUUCGCUUAUCCAACAUUCUGCCGGCCCGUUUAUGUUGGAUAAGUGAGACUCUACUGUACAUCUUUCUUCUCCAGGAUCUAUUAACUGUUUUUAAAAAAACCAGCAGGAACCAUCAAUAGAGCAAAACCCAGCAACCCUAUGCACAUAUCCUUAUUUGAAUUUCCAUGUCUGAAAAGCAUACCCUAGUACAUCACGCAAAGUGCUACUAAAAUUUCUAUUUUCUUGCUACUUUUUCUAAAACAAACCAAAGACUGCUGUGCACCUCAGACAGCCAAAUGCACAUUUGUUUAUUUAUUGGUUCAAAAACAUUCUUGUUUCUCUUGAUCAAUGCAGUUGUGAUGGAAGAGAAACCUAAAUUGCAAGGUUUCGGCAAAUGGGUUUGUUUUUAAAAACAGUUUCGAUUAGUUGGCCUAUUUUCAAAUGGGUAGUCCACAAAAAGACACCUGCAAAUAUACAUAGAGGCUAGCCUUGUAUAUGCUGUGUGUAUACUACUCAUCUACCACCCAAGCAGUUUAUCAUUACUUUGGCAACUUACUCACAAUGGGGGGAAAAGUGAUUUUAAGUUAAUGUUACAGCUCAAGCUGUUUGGAGACAGAGCUCCAAGUGAGCCAUUAUGAAGGGCUGUUUGAUGAACCUUGUGUAAUGGCUAAAGAGCAGCUUGCAAAAUGCCACUCCAUUCUUGUCACUGCUUAUUAGUGUCAGCAUGGAGAAGGGGAGGCACUAUUCUGGAUUAUCUUUGUAGAUGAGGUCUUUUUUCCAGGUGGUCAAAUGCUAAUGAACAACAACAAGAAAAAAGUAAGGAAGGCAAUCAGAUGGUACUGACACAUGAGGAUGGAUCUAACUAGAUGUGGCAUCAUAUGCCAAUGAAAAGAGGUAAAAAAAUCACUGCUGAUUUAGGUUUGGUGGACCAAGGAUGGCUGCAUAAAUGUGAACUUGAUAACAAUUAUUUUAUGCUCUUUGAGCCCCGUCUCAGUUUAUAAAAGUCUUGCUUUACUUUUCAAACUGUGAUUUAAAAUAACUUGGUAUAAUAAAGCAACACUGGGAAGAUCCUGGUUCUAAUCCCAAUGGAGUAAUCAAAUGCACUGAGAGCCUGGAAGUUACCUCUAUUUAUUUUAUUUCUUGAUUCCAAUUUCUUGAUCAACAUUCAAUCUAAAACAUUACAUUAACUCUCAAUUAAAUUGGAACUAUCACAGGAGAAAACCAAAGUGUUGGCGUGGGGCCUCUGCCAGAAGUUGAGGGACGUCAUGUAAUGGGCUGUGUGCCCAUAUGUCCCUCAACUGCCUGGCAAGUGUCCUAGGAUGCUUACAUUGGUAAGUGUGGUGAAGUCCUAAAAUAUUUCAAUACAGAUUAUAAAGUACACGAAAUAAUAAAAUACCCUUCAUUUGGUACAAUAAAAACCACAACAGUGGUGACUAAUAGACUGCUGUUGAGAAGGCAUUCCACAGAUAGGUCUCCACCACUGAAAAGUCCUUCUUAGUCACAUUCAUCACUUUGUUUGGGUAUAUAGAGAAAAGGACAAUCCUUAGGUAAUUUGUAAUUUGAAAACUGAUGAACAGUUCCAAAGCUUGCAUUUCUAACUAAAUUUUAUUGGACCAAUAAAAGUACUUUUAUACUUUACGUAUUUUAUCUUUUACUUUCAUUUUAGGUGACAAGUUUUUUAAAAAAAAAUCCUAAUAAAGAAUAACACAACCAUUUAAGGUAAAAUUUUACCACUAAGGAUGGACUUUUACCACAGUUCAAGGAAGACUAGGUCCUUUUCCACACAGUGUGAUCUCAGAUAACCCAGUUCAAUGCAGAUAUUGUGGAUUAUUUGCCUUGAUAUUCUGGGUUAUAUGGCUGUGUGGAAGGGCCCUACAUUACACUUUGUUCUUCCAGAUAUUACCUAAUACAAUUUGACUUCAACUGAUUGUUUUGGUCAGUCCACUAUCUGCAUUUAAUCUCCAAAGCUAUACUUUAGUUUUGCUGAUCUGAUAAGUGCCAUGUUAUUUCUGAUCAAAUUCAGCAUAGGAGCCACACAAUUCAACUAAAAAGCAACUGAAAGAUCACUCCCUCUAUAUUAUUAUUAUUAUUAUUAUUAUUAUUAUUAUUAUUAUUAUUAUUAUUAUUAUUAUUUUAUUAUUAAGCAAUUAAUUCCACAUCCCUUGAAGGAUAACAUGAUUUUUAAAAAGCUUAUCACACUGAAUCCUCAAGCCUUUAGUCUCUAUUACAGACUUUAGUAACUACAAAAACAUGGCUAUAAUAUCUGACCAGUGUGAUUUCUGAACAUUUCUACUCUCUCCACCUUGCAUUUUUUGUAACACCUACCAUAUAAAGAGUUUUGAAAAGAACCCCCAAAAUGUUCAUUCUAUUAAAUUAUUUAUUGGUAUAAUUAAAAAUAUACUCAAUAAAAGUAUUAUCCAGCUCUUCAUUUCCUUUAGGACAGAUUGAUCCUUACCAUUGAAGGGUGGUGGGGAUAGUAGAAAAAUAUUAACUAAUUCAUUAAAUUACAGAUUCUUUAUAUUUCUGCUAAUUUGGCUGCACUCCACAGAUUUUUUGAGUGUUGAAGUUAAACCUGUAAUUUUACAAAUUAAUUGUUUUGGAUCAUUAGAUUCAUUAUUAAGUGGUAUGGUGGCACUGUUUCUGCCAUUUUCCAUAAAUACGAAGAAUACAGAAAGCAAUCAGCAAGAAAAUACAGGAAGCAAGACUAUGGUGGUACAACCAUGUCAUGAGAAGAGAACCAACAUCAGUAGCACAAACAGUACUACAUUUGGUGAUUGCAGGACAACGUGGAUCACCAAAGAAAAGAUGGCUGGACACCAUCAACAAAUUCAUGCAUGCUGCCAACCUGAGACCCGAGAAUGCCCAAAACAAAGCUCUGUGGAACUGACAGUCUCAGUGUUAACCCUUCUCUUGGGAAAAUAGCUUAGAAAGAAGAAGAAUGAAUUCUGAUGGUGGCAUAGAGGCUAAAUCCCCACCCACAGUUUCUUCCUCAGCUAAAAUUGGCCUAAAAGGCACCAAAUCCAUUCUGAUCUUGGAUGGAACACAAGCAAAGUCAGCUGUAGUUUGUACUUGGGUGAAAGUUCAUAAACAAAUGGAAAGUGCUGUAGGUUGUAUUUCAGAUAAGACCUGACAAAAUCACCUCUGUGUAUUCCUUGCCUAAUAAAACUCUAUGAAAUUCA